UACAGGGGGGGCAAGCGUUGUUCGGAAUUACUGGGCGUAAAGGGUUCGUAGGUGGCCACUUAAGUCAGACGUGAAAUCCCUCAGCUUAACUGGGGAACUGCGUCUGAUACUGAGUGGCUUGAGUGCAGGAGAGGAAUGCGGAAUUCCAGGUGUAGCGGUGAAAUGCGUAGAUAUCUGGAGGAACACCGGUGGCGAAGGCGGCAUUCUGGACUGUAACUGACACUGAGGAACGAAAGCCAGGGAGCAAACGGG
rnacentral:rRNA from 1 species